UCUUUUUUUCUUUUUGAAAGAUUCAUCGUUUCAUCUUUCUCAACGGUUCGUCGAUCAAUCGACACACUACUCCAUAAUUGAUCAAUGAAUCCUCCAGAAAUCCCAUUUAUGUCUUCCUUUCACCUUCCUUCCUCUCAAUUUCUAUAACAUUCCUCCCAAUGGAUAGUAAUCCACCAGAAAGUCUUCCGUAGCCACUGGCAAUGCCGAAUUUCUAGAUCGAACGAACACACAUGCCUUUCAUAUGUUCAUGUCUGCCUUUCUUCAGGUUCCAACUCCCUUUUUCACAAUAUAUAAACAUAUCCUCUGAUUCUAUGCUCCACCAUCAUACACGACAAAUACAUCACGGCGAGAGAGGCAUGCUUAUUGGGUUAGAACUACUUUCGUGGACAAGCAGUGAUGUAUCUGCAGGCUUGGUAGAAGCGGAGCUGCGUUACCAGUGAAUCCAUUUCGGUCAAACAACAGUCUCUGAAGCGGGUCGAAUAAUGGUAUGUAUAUCCAUUAUGUUACUCUCCUCUCCUCAUAGCUGAACCGUCUAUUUCUGCAAUGUUUGUUUCUUUCUUAUUUUUGCUUUGUGGGUUAUUCUUCCGAUGAUCUGAAAUCUGAAAAGUUUCAAGAUUUGCGAUGAAAUCUUCUCACUGACUUUAUAAGUUUAUUUGGUUGCAUUUCAGUUCACUUACACUCAAACCUGGUAAAAUAACUUCUUUCUCUUUAGUUGUAAUUGAUCAAAAUUGUUUAGUUACAAACAUCGGAUGCUCAACUUUGUGUUCGAAACUGUAACUUUUCUGAAAAUAUUGUUAUGUAAAAGUCAAAAGAUUGCAUUUUUAUGUUCCUUGAUAAGAAUAGAAGCCUUAAAAUGGCUAUUGAUCCCAUAAUGUUUAGUUAAGCUUUGUGACAGUGACUGUUCAAUCGCUAACUUUUGUCACCAUGUGUCUCUGUUGGUAACAUCUGAUGGAAAUCCUCGGAAGAUAGCUACAAGGUUACUUGAUCCUUUUCUUGCUCACUUGAAGACAACACAAGAUUAAGUUGCUAAAGGUGGCUACUCAUUUGUUCUCAAGCUUGAGGAUAGUGACGGUUUUGACAACGGUUACAUUCACUGAUAUCCUCCCGUAGACAAAAGCCAUCGUCUCUUUCAAAGUCCCUGACAACAGUUCUGGCAAGGUUUAAAAAAUAAUAGUAAUAACCCUUUUGUGUAUGCAUUUCAGUGGUUUUGAGAUUGAUACCAUCAACUUAUGAAAUCUGUUAACAACUUGAGGUCCAGUACUUCCAUGACCAUGCAGCAGUCUCCGUACCGCAGCUUUGAAGAAGAACCCAUUGAUCGAUGUAACAGCCACUCUAGAUACACCAGUCAUUUGGUGCUGACGCUGGAUACGACACAUCCUCCAAAACUUUCACCAAGUACAAUGCUAGAAACGUUACAAAGUACACUGAAUCAUUAUUCUCCACUCCUCACGCAAUCCAUCAUUGAAUGCAUAUACCAUUACUUCAUUUCUCUGAAUCCUGGAGAUUACCUCAACUAUAAAAAGGAACCAAAAGAGAAUAACCUUCGUCAAAAUACUUUGGCACUGUAUUGUCUACAUGAGAUAACAAUGCUAGCAGAGCAAGUAACACAGGCUCUUAUGAAUCCCCUGAAGCUGCGGAAACAUGAUCAGAGGUGUGAUUCCUUGCUUCGGUUUUUUUCUUCGGUUUCUUCAAUUUAGUGUCCACGCAACUCUUUGUUCUCUGGUUAAUUUCUAUACACAUUGCCACCAUUGAUUCCAGAUUAUAAUAAUUCAUUGUGUUUUGGAGUUCCUGCUGUAGAUAUAUGUCUAAGCCAUUCCUCAUGUUUCAAUGUUUGAUAUAUUGUUAUAACUGAAAGUCAACUGGUACAAA